AUCGUUGACGCCUCCGUGUUUAAAAGCUUGCUCAUAAAAGAACCGUGCAAAGCUCGUGUGAAGGCAAACUUGAAGAUUUCCCUGAGGUGACAGCAGAUCCUGAAGAUGGUGUCUAGGCUGUUCUUUGCCCUUUUAGUUUUGUCUGUGCUCUUAGAGUUCUCGAGUCGAUGUGAAGCUCAAUACAUAUGUAUGUUCAUGACAUGUAAGCGAGAGGAGUUGGAGGACCCUAGGGCUUCAUUAGCUGAUGAAAAUCCAGUCCCUUUGAACGAAUACAGACGAAAUAGGCUGAUGCGAUUAUCAAAACUGCUUCAAGAAAAGCGAAACUUAUUUGACGAUGCUCAGUCAGAGGAGCAAUGAUGAUGCAUCUUCAUUAGUAGAAACCGGCUAUGCCUAAUCUAGACUUGGAGAUUUAUCUUAGAUUAAUUUUUAACGAUCAUCAUGAUAAUUUUACAUGUUAUAGCUUACAUACAUCUAUCAAUAAAGAUACAAAUACACUUCA